AGUGAACGCUGGCGGUAGGCCUAACACAUGCAAGUCGAACGGCAGCACAGGAGAGCUUGCCCUCUGGGUGGCGAGUGGCGGACGGGUGAGGAAUACAUCGGAAUCUACCUUUUCGUGGGGGAUAACGUAGGGAAACUUACGCUAAUACCGAAUACGACCUACGGGUGAAAGUGGGGGACCGCAAGGCCUCACGCGAUUAGAUGAGCCGAUGUCCGAUUAGCUAGUUGGCGGGGUAAUGGCCCACCAAGGCGACGAUCGGUAGCUGGUCUGAGAGGAUGAUCAGCCACACUGGAACUGAGACACGGUCCAGACUCCUACGGGAGGCAGCAGUGGGGAAUAUUGGACAAUGGGCGCAAGCCUGAUCCAGCCAUACCGCGUGGGUGAAGAAGGCCUUCGGGUUGUAAAGCCCUUUUGUUGGGAAAGAAAUCCUGUCGAUUAAUACUCGGUGGGGAUGACGGUACCCAAAGAAUAAGCACCGGCUAACUUCGUGCCAGCAGCCGCGGUAACAC
rnacentral:rRNA from 1 species